AAAUAAGACCUCCUUAUCUGCUUUCUAAAGAAGGAACAAAUGGCAAAAGGAAAGAAGGCAAAGCCACCCGUCCUGCAGAAGAUGCCGAUUUCCUUGUGCUCUUCCUCUUUUGGAGUCUGCCUGUAGCCUGAAAAGCUGACAGGUUUGUGGAGCCUGUCCUGGAACUUGCUCAGUAGACCAGACUGACCUUGAACUCACAGAGAUCUGCCUGUCUCUGCUUCCCGAGUGCUGGGAUCAAAGGCAUUCGACACCACCGCCCGGCUGACAUCGGGAUUUUUAACAGGCACAUACCAUAAGUAGGUGUAUAGACUCCUACCUCCUUUGUCCAACUGACCAGAAGAAGAGAUUUUUGAUGUCUCUGCUGGAGUCCAGAACCUUCCCCGAGACUGACACACCAGAGACAACCUGCAGUACUCCUAGACAGUAAGAGAUGUCCACUAUGGGCACGCCUCCCUCAGGGCCAUGAUGUAUGAGUGCCCCCCAGCCCUCAUGAGCAGGGGGGAGGGCCCUCUGGAAGACUGCAAGCAGAAUGGACCUGAGAUUUAAAAAAAAAAAAAAAAAGUGUUUCCUAGAACAUCACUGCUUAAGAUGUCUGCAGUCUCUUUGUGUUCCACUGUGG
rnacentral:lncRNA from 1 species